rnacentral:rRNA from 1 species
UGGGGAAUAUUGCACAAUGGGCGAAAGCCUGAUGCAGCAACGCCGCGUGAGUGAUGAAGGCCUUCGGGUUGUAAAGCUCUGUCUUUUGGGACGAUAAUGACGGUACCAAAGGAAGAAGCCACGGCUAACUACGUGCCAGCAGCCGCGGUAAUACGUAGGUGGCAAGCGUUGUCCGGAUUUACUGGGCGUAAAGGAUGCGUAGGUGGAUAUUUAAGUGGGAUGUGAAAUACCCGGGCUCAACUUGGGUGCUGCAUUCCAAACUGGAUAUCUAGAGUGCAGGAGAGGUAAGUGGAAUUCCUAGUGUAGCGGUGAAAUGCGUAGAGAUUAGGAAGAACACCAGUGGCGAAGGCGACUUACUGGACUGUAACUGACACUGAGGCAUGAAAGCGUGGGGAGCAAACAGGAUUAGAUACCCUGGUAGUCCACGCCGUAAACGAUGGGUACUAGGUGUAGGAGGGUCCAACCUUCUGUGCCGCCGUUAACACAAUAAGUA